UACGGAGGGUACGAACGUUAAUCGGAAUUACUGGGCGUAAAGCGCGCGUAGGCGGUUUGAUAAGUGGGAUGUGAAAGCCCCGGGCUUAACCUGGGAACUGCAUUCCAAACUGUCAGACUAGAGUAUGGUAGAGGCUGGGUAGAAUUUCCUGUGUAGCGGUGGAAAUGACGUAGAUAUAGGAAGGAAUACCG
rnacentral:rRNA from 1 species